rfam:Stegodyphus mimosarum contig80455, whole genome shotgun sequence.
GCCUUUGUGGUGUAGUGGGCAGCCCGCUCGACGCGUGUUCCAGAGGUCCAUGGUUCAAGUCCUGGCGUGGGCA